rnacentral:rRNA from 1 species
GACGAACGCUGGCGGCGUGCUUAACACAUGCAAGUCGAACGGAAAGGCCCUGCUUUUGUGGGGUGCUCGAGUGGCGAACGGGUGAGUAACGCGUGAGUAACCUGCCCUUGACUUUGGGAUAACUUCAGGAAACUGGGGCUAAUACCGGAUAGGGGCUCCUGCUGCAUGGUGGGGGUUGGAAAGUUUCGGCGGUUGGGGAUGGACUCGCGGCUUAUCAGCUUGUUGGUGGGGUAGUGGCUUACCAAGGCUUUGACGGGUAGCCGGCCUGAGAGGGUGACCGGCCACAUGGGGACUGGGAUACGGCCCAGACCCCUACGGGGGGGAGCGGUGGGGAAUAUUGCACAAGGGGGGGAAGCCUGAUGCAGCAACCCCGGGGGGGGGAUGACGGCCUUCGGGUUGUAAACCGCUUUCGCCUGGGACGAAGGGUGGGUGACGGUAAUGGGUAAAGAAGCACGGGUUAAUUACGU